rnacentral:rRNA from 1 species
AUUGAACGCUGGCGGCAUGCCUUACACAUGCAAGUCGAACGGCAGCACGGGUGCUUGCACCUGGUGGCGAGUGGCGAACGGGUGAGUAAUACAUCGGAACAUGUCCUGUAGUGGGGGAUAGCCCGGCGAAAGCCGGAUUAAUACCGCAUACGAUCCACGGAUGAAAGCGGGGGACCUUCGGGCCUCGCGCUAUAGGGUUGGCCGAUGGCUGAUUAGCUAGUUGGUGGGGUAAAGGCCUACCAAGGCGACGAUCAGUAGCUGGUCUGAGAGGACGACCAGCCACACUGGGACUGAGACACGGCCCAGACUCCUACGGGAGGCAGCAGUGGGGAAUUUUGGACAAUGGGCGAAAGCCUGAUCCAGCAAUGCCGCGUGUGUGAAGAAGGCCUUCGGGUUGUAAAGCACUUUUGUCCGGAAAGAAAUCCUUGACUUUAAUACAGUCGGGGGAUGACGGUACCGGAAGAAUAAGCACCGGCUAACUACGUG